UGUCGAAGGGGCCUCCUGAAGCAAGAGAAAACAGCGCCUGCCGUGGAGAAAUGACAAAUCACAGCUGGCGGAUCAAUCUGAGUGUGCUCCUGACAGCAGGGUGGAAUGAAUAAAGACGAGGGGGCUUGAGAUGAGAUGAGAGGAACCAAGUUGAGAGGCUACCCGUUCCGGGAACCCUUCAGGUGGAGGGUCUGUGCUGUCCCAUAAUGCAGUUGUCCAGCACCUCACCACCUUCUGAAGCCAACACAAAGUUCUCCCCUUGGCACCCUCGGGCCUGUGGCUGCUCUCUGCAGUGAGCCUCAGACUGACGGAGAUAAAGGUUCCCUGGGCCCAAGUUCCAAACUCGGCGGUUUUGUUUCGGUUAAAAUGCAAUUGUUUUCCUCUGGAGCGCGCAGUGACUGCUCCGCGUCAGGAAGAUAUAUGAAAACCUCCACUUCAAUUCAGCAUCCUUUUUCUCCCAGACAAACACGGUCGGAUUUUAAUAAAUCAAAG